rnacentral:rRNA from 1 species
UUCCAGACUCCUACGGGAGGCAGCAGUGGGGGAUAUUGCACAAUGGGGGGAACCCUGAUGCAGCGACGCCGCGUGGGUGAAGGAGCGUUUCGGCGCGUAAAGCCCUAUCGGCAGGGAAGAAGGAGGACGGUACCUGACUAAGAAGCCCCGGCUAACUACGUGCCAGCAGCCGCGGUAAUACGUAGGGAGCGAGCGUUGUCCGGAAUUACUGGGUGUAAAGGGGGCGCAGACGGCAGCGCAAGCCAGGAGUGAAAGCCCGGGGCCCAACCCCGGGACUGCUCUUGGAACUGCGCGGCUGGAGUGCAGGAGGGGCAGGCGGAAUGCCUGGUGUAGCGGUGAAAUGCGUAGAUAUACGGAGGAACACCAGUGGCGAAGGCGGCCUGCUGGACAUUAACUGACGCUGAGGCGCGAAAGCGUGGGGAGCAAACAGGAUUAGAUACCCUUGUA